rnacentral:rRNA from 1 species
UACGUAGGGUGCAAGCGUUGUCCGGAAUUAUUGGGCGUAAAGAGCUCGUAGGCGGUCUGUCGCGUCGGCUGUGAAAACUUGGGGCUCAACCCCCAAGCCUGCAGUCGAUACGGGCAGACUAGAGUCCGGCAGGGGAGACUGGAAUUCCUGGUGUAGCGGUGAAAUGCGCAGAUAUCAGGAGGAACACCGGUGGCGAAGGCGGGUCUCUGGGCCGGAACUGGACGCUGAGGAGCGAAAGCGUGGGGAGCGAACAGG